AACGAACGCUGGCGGCAUGCCUAACACAUGCAAGUCGAACGAGGACUUCGGGUCUAGUGGCGCACGGGUGCGUAACGCGUGGGAACCUGCCCUUAGGUUCGGAAUACCUCCCCGAAAGGGGUGCUAAUACAGGAUAAUGUCAUCGGACCAAAGAUUUAUCGCCUGUGGAUGGGCCCGCGUUGGAUUAGCUAGUUGGUAGGGUAAAAGCCUACUAAGGCGACGAUCCAUAGCUGGUCUGUGAGGAUGAUCAGCCACACUGGGAUUGAGACACGGCCCAGACUCCUACGGGAGGCAGCAGUGGGGAAUAUUGGACAAGGGGCGAAAGCCUGAUCCAGCAAGGCCGCGUUAGUGAUGAAGGCCUUAGGGUUGUAAAGCGCUUUUACCCGGGAUGAUAAUGACAGAACCGGGAGAAUAAGCUCCGGCUAACUCCGU
rnacentral:rRNA from 1 species